AACGAACGCUGGCGGCAGGCCUAACACAUGCAAGUCGAACGGCAGCACAGGAGAGCUUGCUCUCUGGGUGGCGAGUGGCGGACGGGUGAGGAAUACAUCGGAAUCUACCUUUUCGUGGGGGAUAACGUAGGGAAACUUACGCUAAUACCGCAUACGACCUACGGGUGAAAGUGGGGGACCGCAAGGCCUCACGCGAUUAGAUGAGCCGAUGUCCGAUUAGCUAGUUGGCGGGGUAAUGGCCCACCAAGGCGACGAUCGGUAGCUGGUCUGAGAAGAUGAUCAGCCACACUGGAACUGAGGCACGGUCCAGACUCCUACGGGAGGCAGCAGUGGGGAAUAUUGGACAAUGGGCGCAAGCCUGAUCCAGCCAUACCGCGUGGGUGAAGAAGGCCUUCGGGUUGUAAAGCCCUUUUGUUGGGAAAGAAAUCCUGUCGAUUAAUACUCGGUGGGGAUGACGGUACCCAAAGAAUAAGCACCGGCUAACUUCGUGCCAGCCGCCGCAGUAAAAC
rnacentral:rRNA from 1 species